rnacentral:lncRNA from 1 species
GAAAAUAUGUAGACCUAACAUCUAUCUCCCUGCUCCAGUUUCAAGAGAAAAGACCUUAUUCAGAGAAAUAUUUAGAAGACUCUUGUGGAAUUCUUGCUGAAGAAGCUUAAAUGACUCUUCUUGCUCACAUACUUCCUGGGCAAACAUGUCUGCUCUGUUGGGAUAAAGGACGCUCUAGACCAGGCUCUGCUGAAAGAUCCAGGGCAAAGGUUCCUGACAAGACUAUGUCCAGCCUCAAAUAAGGCCACAGAAGAGCCCAGGCUCGCUGACGAGCACCGGCUCCGAGGCAGUCACAUCAGGAGACAGAAACAGACAUGUUGGUGCUGCCCUCUCAGGUCAGUGCAAAUGCCACUUGAGGAGGGCUGAGAGCUUUGCAGCAUAAAAUGACCAGAACAAGGAGAAACACAGAUGCAAUGGCAAUAGCUGGCAAUUCGCACAUGGCGU